UACGGGGGGGGCAAGCGUUGUUCGGAAUUACUGGGCGUAAAGGGCUUGUAGGCGGCCAACUAAGUCAGACGUGAAAUCCCUCGGCUUAACCGGGGAACUGCGUCUGAUACUGGAUGGCUUGAGUUCGGGAGAGGGAUGCGGAAUUCCAGGUGUAGCGGUGAAAUGCGUAGAUAUCGUCUGGAACGCCGGUGGUGAAGACGGGUGACUGGGCCGGUUCUGACACUGAGGCACGAAAGCGUGGGGAGCGAACGGG
rnacentral:rRNA from 1 species